UGGGCAGAAGGAUCCUCCUCUUGUGGUUGCUGGUCCUGACCCACCUCACUGCCUGAUCAUCCAGAAGGCACUGCCUCAGCCAGAAGGAUGGUGUGGGAGAUCGUGUCAAAUGCUUUGCUGAAAUCAAGGUAAAGCACAUCCACUGCUUUACCAUCACCUACCCACCUGGUUAUGUCCUCAUAAAAGGCUCUCAGGUUGGCCAAACAAAAA